GAUGAAGAACGUAGCGAAAUGCGAUACUUGGUGUGAAUUGCAGAAUCCCGUGAACCAUCGAGUCUUUGAACGCAAGUUGCGCCCGAAGCCAUUAGGCCGAGGGCACGCCUGCCUGGGCGUCACACGUCGUUGCCCCCCCAUCUACUCCUUCGGGAUUGCGGGGGGCGGAUGAUGGCCUCCCGUGCGCCUCGUCGCGCGGUUGGCAUAAAUGCCAAGUCCUCGGCGACGCACGCCACGACAAUCGGUGGUUGCGAAACCUCGGUUGCCCGUUGUGUGCGGUCGUCGCGCAUCGAGGGCUCGAAAAAAUUGCCGGGCUCCGGCUCGGCUUUCAACGCGACCCCAGGUCAGGCGGGGUUACCCGCUGAAUUUAAGCAUAUCAAUAAGCGGAGGA
rnacentral:misc_RNA from 1 species